rnacentral:rRNA from 1 species
UAAUACGUAGGGUGCGAGCGUUGUCCGGAAUUAUUGGGCGUAAAGAGCUCGUAGGCGGCUUGUCGCGUCGGAUGUGAAAGCCCGGGGCUUAACUCCGGGUCUGCAUUCGAUACGGGCAGGCUAGAGUUCGGUAGGGGAGAUCGGAAUUCCUGGUGUAGCGGUGAAAUGCGCAGAUAUCAGGAGGAACACCGGUGGCGAAGGCGGAUCUCUGGGCCGAUACUGACGCUGAGGAGCGAAAGCGUGGGGAGCGAACAGGAUUAGAUACCCUGGUAGUCCACGCCGUAAACGUUGGGAACUAGGUGUGGGCGACAUUCCACGUUGUCCGUGCCGCAGCUAACGCAUUAAGUUCCCCGCCUGGGGAGUACGGCCGCAAGGCUA